rnacentral:rRNA from 1 species
CAAUAGCGUAUAUUAAAGUUGUUGCAGUUAAAAAGCUCGUAGUUGGAUUUCUGAUCGAGACAUCAGGUCGGGUCCGAGAGGAUCAAGUACUUUGAUUUUGUUUUGAUCAUCCUUGGGGAGAGCAUUUCUGGCAUUCAGUUGUCGGGAUUGGGAUCCUCAUCGUUUACUGUGAAAAAAUUAGAGUGUUCAAAGCAGGCCUCGGCCUCUGAACACAUUAGCAUGGAAUAAUAAGAUAGGACUUUGGUGGUCUAUUUUGUUGGUUUGCACGCCAAAGUAAUGAUUAAUAGGGAUAGUUGGGGGUAUUCGUAUUCAAUUGUCAGAGGUGAAAUUCUUGGAUUUAUGGAAGACGAACUACUGCGAAAGCAUUUACCAAGGAUGUUUUCAUUAA